UACAGAGGGUGCGAGCGUUAAUCGGAAUUACUGGGCGUAAAGCGCGCGUAGGCGGCUUUGCAAGUCGGGUGUGAAAUCCCCAGGCUUAGCCUGGGAACUGCAUUCGAGACUGCAUUGCUAGAGUAUGGGAGAGGGAAGUGGAAUUUCCGGUGUAGCGGUGAAAUGCGUAGAUAUCGGAAGGAACAUCAGUGGCGAAAGCGGCUUCCUGGACCAGUACCGACGUUCAGGCACGAAAGCGUGGGGAGCAAACAGG
rnacentral:rRNA from 1 species